rnacentral:rRNA from 1 species
AGCAGCCGCGGUAAUUCCAGCUCCAAUAGCGUAUAUUAAAGUUGUUGCAGUUAAAAAGCUCGUAGUUGAAUUUCGGGAUCAGUACGCUGGUCGUGCCUCCGGUAUGUACUGGUGUCACUGAUUCCUCCCUUCUGAAGAACCAUCAUGCCAUUAAUUUGGUGUGGUGGGGAAUCAGGACUGUUACUUUGAAAAAAUUAGAGUGUUUAAAGCAGGCUCGCGCUUGAAUACAUUAGCAUGGAAUAAUGAAAUAGGACGUUUAUCCUAUUUUGUUGGUUUCUAGGAUUGACGUAAUGAUUAAUAGGGAUAGUUGGGGGCAUUAGUAUUCAAUUGUCAGAGGUGAAAUUCUUGGAUUUAUUGAAGACUAACUACUGCGAAAGCAUUUGCCAAGGAUGUUUUCAUUAAUCAAGAACGAAAGUUAGGGGAUCGAAGACGAUCAGAUACCGUCGUAGUCUUAGCCAUAAACUAUGCCGACUAGGGAUCGGAUGAUGUUAAUUUUUUAAUGACUCAUUCGGCGCCUUACG